UAUGAAGGGGGCUAGCGUUGCUCGGAAUCACUGGGCGUAAAGGGUGCGUAGGCGGUUGGGUAAGUCUGACGUGAAAUCUCCGGGCCUAACCCGGAAACUGCGUUGGAUACUACCUGACUAGAGGAAUGGAGGGGAGACUGGAAUACUUGGUGUAGCAGUGAAAUGCGUAGAUAUCAAGUGGAACACCAGUGGCGAAGGCGAGUCUCUGGACAUUUCCUGACGCUGAGGCACGAAAGCCAGGGGAGCAAACGGG
rnacentral:rRNA from 1 species